GGUGUUUCUGAGCUGUUGGUGUUUUCAGGCGGGGGUUUUUAGGACAUUUGUAUUGUACUUACUCUCGCUGAGCCGGCGAUGAACUGUUACGAUAGGAACCGUCUUCUUAGUGUUUCAAAAAAGUUAAUUAGGGCUGAGGAGCUAGUCACCUUCCUUUACCAAUGUAAGCUGAACCAAGUGUUCCCGAUGUCGAUAUAUCGCUUGCGCCUACCUGUUAGGUCUAUGGGACUUGAGAACCAAGUUAAGGACCGAUGCCUUAAGUAUGCGUACACUGAUGCCAGAAGGAAUAUGUUCUCCCUUAAGAAAAGACUACGCCAACUGGAGCUGGU
rnacentral:lncRNA from 1 species